CAACUCAGUCAUGUCGGAAUUUCCGGUUCCGGUCAAAAUAAAAACAAGAGAAGAACAAGAAGAUGAAAGCUUAAAGAACAACAUUUUGAAGGUUUUGUGAAUGAAAUUUGAAUAGAAAUGGGCAGACGGAAGUUCGAUAGAACGGUUGUUAAGAAAUGUCCAAUUUGUGGACAACAGAUACCUGUAGCGUGUAGAUAUUGUAGUUGUGGACAUCAGUUUACGACUAGAGUUCGUACAUCCUCAUCUACAUCAUCUUUACCAGAUGAAAGAGAAUGUGAUCAAGGAUCGAACGAAUCAAGUGAAGGAAAGAGAAGAAGAACUGUUAGAACUAAAAGAGUCCGACCAGAUUUCUUUAAUUCUUUAGAUCUAGAAUAUAGUUCCAGGCAGCUCAAACCCAAAAAGUCCAAGGAAGAAGAAGAAAGUCCUAAGAAAAAGCGAGGUCGUCCUAAAGGUUCAGUAAAUAAAGCAAAGACUUCAGAACCAACCACACCUGUAGCAGAGAAUAGUAAGCCAAUAGAAGAAGAUGUUUUUUCGGGUGUUCCUCAAGAUAAAUUAAAUACAUAUAAUAUUAUAUUAUCUGAAUUAAAUCGUAAAAUAUUUACACAGACAUUUAAACCAGAUUGAUUAUAACAUAACUGUGAGAGAGAGAGAAAUGGGGUUUAACGUCCACUCGACACAAACUAGGUCAUUUCGGGACUGACAUAUGGUUCAAUUUUAAUUUCAUAAUUCGCUUGCGAGUAGGGGUCUUUAGUGACGUUUCGACUGAAUUUCUCUAUGGAUCUCUAGUCUUUAUCAAGCCUAGAGGGGGGUUGGAUGGCUGAAUGGUUAGCGCGAGCGCGUUGUAUCAUAAGGACUGUCAUUGAGUCAACUGGCGUGGUUUCGAUUCCCCAAUUGUACAUGGCAAGGAGUAGGGUUGUCUGUCCAACCUCGUGGGUUUUCUCCGGGUUCCCCGGUUUCCUCCCACAUCUAAAGACUCCUACUCGCAAGCAAAUUAUUGAAAUUAAAAUUAAACCAUAUGUUAGUCCCGAAAUGACCUAGUUUGUGUUGAGUGGAGUUAAACCCAUCUCUCUCUCUCUCUCUCUCUCUCUCUUUCUGCCCCCCCCUCUCUUUAUCAAGCCUUGUUGAAAGUCACUUAGUAAUAAGCAGUAAUCAUAUUCCAUGGAAUUGUGAGGUGUGUAAAUUCAUUGCCAUGUAAUUUUGCGGCAUGGUUUCCCCUUGCCAAGGUGCAGGAAGGGAAGGGGGGGUCAGACUAGGACUAGGACAUAUGGUACAAAAAAACGAGAUACGGUGUACACAUUGGCGUGCACUGGCAGCUGGAAUUCGAUAUAAGAGUAGGCCGUAGCCUGCUGUCUGAGCAAAAUUUUCCUCUUAGUCCUAACACACUGUAUGGGGUAUACCCAUCUUCAUUAGCCCAGUCGGAACAGAACAGUAGGACGUUAAACCCCAUUUCAUUUCAUCGUAUCCCCAUACGGCAUGUAUGGUAUGUCUGUAUGGCAGAACAGUAGGAUGUUAAACCCCAUUUCAUUUUAUUUUUGCCUUGUAAAUGUUGUUGUUGACCAUAUUAGUAUAUGUCUAUCUUUAUAUCUAUUGUAGUUAUUGUACAAUUUGUUUGUAAUUUGUUUUUCUUUGUGUUGUAUUUUUCAAAUAAAAAUAAAAUGAAAGUAC